GUGAAAACCUUCAAUGUUGGCAACUUUCUCUGCAGGAUGCUGAUAAAAUUGUGCGUUCCAUCCAAGACUUGUUCACUUCCUGGGGACAAAUCAAGAUAUCUUACCAUGCUUCAGCCAGUCAUCCUUCUGCUUCUUCAGAGGAAGAUAUGAAGUUCCUCAAGCAGUCGAUAUUUGAGUAUGUGUCCUUCAUGGAUAUGGACAUCGAUAAGGCUAGUGCUGUCAAGCAUAAGGAUAAGCUUGAGCAUUUGAGUGCGAAGUUGGAGCAAGCACUAACACUUCCGUCGCUCAACCUUUCUGCUGAUUUUAAAGCAACGUUGAAAGUUGUCCAUUCCGAAAUUCUCUCAUUGUUGGCCAGAAAUGUUGAACUGGAGGCUAAGAGUACUCAAUAUCUUCACGCUGUAUCUGAAAGAGAGUCCUUGCUUUUGGAGAUCAACAAAGCUGAGAACGAAUUGAAAGAAAUCUCUUCCGAAAUCAUGAUUGAAGACUCUUUGAUGACAAGUUUGGCUGCACAGAUAAAGGAGCUUCAAGCCAAGAUGGACGACUGCAAGGCGAGAAUGGCUGCUAAAAAGCGUAAUGCCUCCCAAGGAAUUGAGCGAACCAAGUCUUUGGUUGAGCAGUACAAGAAGCUGAAAGUUGAUGAUGAUGUUGUGGCUGAAUUGAAUAUCACUUCUUUUCGGCAGAGCGAGGACUGGGGGAGACUUAGGGAAAGAAUUCGUUUGGUAUGGGG
rnacentral:lncRNA from 1 species